UUGACAGUUUGGCUUCCCUGUUCUGGGUGGCAAAGCCUGUGGAGUACUCACCUACCUGCUGCAUGAAGGCAGCAUGGAGGGACUGUGGUGGAUUAUCUGCAAAGAUGGCCAAAAUUCUCUCAUCCCUGCAGGCACAUACAAGACUAGGCAUUGCUCUCUGAUCAGAAGAGUCAAUCCUGGUGAGUUUAACUUGAGCCUCAGAAUCCUACUCAACACAAAGUUCCAGAGAGAAGCGAUUAUCAAUGCCAAUACCUUAGAGAUGGUACUGGCUGUGGAAUCUGUCAUCCCUUGACUAGAAUGAGGAAGAAAGAUGAAGAAUGAGGAGGAAGAAGGAAGGAACGAGAGAGAGGUAAAGCCAACAAGCAGAACAGACCUACAUUUGCAGCAUCUCCAAGUUUCUGCAACAGCAUUAUGUUGUUGUUAUGUUUUGUUUUAAUAAAAGCACAUACCAUUUUU
rnacentral:lncRNA from 1 species